CUGGAGUUUACAAGUGAAUUUGGCCCACCCCUUAAAACGUGGCUGGGAGUGAGCAUACUGUGACCUGACCCAGUUGGCCAGCACCUGGGUCCCCCUAUGUAUUGAGCCACACAUGCCAGCAGGUGGGCCCUCACCUGUCAGCUACCAAAACUGCAGUGGAAAUUCCUAUUUGUGGUAGGGAACUGCCAGGUCUGGGAAGCAGGAAGGACCCAUCACCUAAGAGCUUUGGGCUGGUCAGCAGGGAGAGUAAGAAUGCAGUGUGACUCAGGUCAUUGCCCUGGGAUGUAGGACAGAAAACAUAAAUCUGGAGCAACUUUGAAAUUCUUCUUUUCCAUGCCGUGCAGAUGAUAACUAAGGACCAGAUCUCCUUGUCCUAUGGGCUUUUAACAGAGAGAGUCUUGGGAAAACCGAAAACUAAGGGUUGCCAGAAGAAAACAUGAAGGAAACUUUCAGCUG